AGAAUGAACGCUAGCGAUAUGCUUAACACAUGCAAGUUGAACGUUGUUUUCGAAUCAGAAUGAGAACAAAGUAGCGAACGGGUGCGUAACACGUGGGAAUCUGCCGAACAGUUUGGGCCAAAUCCCGAAUGAAUAAAAGCUAAAAAGCGCUGUUUGAUGAGCCCACGUAGUAUUAGGUAGUUGGUUAGGUAAAAGCUGACCAAGCCUACGAUGCUUAGCUGGUCUUUUCGGAUGAUCAGCCACACUGGGACUGAGACACGGCCCAGACUCCUACGGGAGGCAGCAGUGGGGAAUCUUGGACAAUGGGCGAAAGCCUGAUCCGGCAAUAUGGCGUGAGUGAAGAAGGGCAACGCAGCUUGUAAAGCUCUUUCAUCGAGUGUGCGAUUGUGACAAGACUCGAAUAAGAGCCCCGCUAACUCCGCGCCAGCAGCCGC
rnacentral:rRNA from 1 species